rnacentral:lncRNA from 1 species
GAAAUUUGCACUUCAGGGAUUAAAGAGUAAUUUCCUGUGCUCUUGUUGUUUAAAAGUCUGCACAGAAGAGCUCCAUGGCCUGAACUUUUCUGGGCAAUGUGCAGAGCUGUUUUUAGCUUGGACUACAAAUAACAGGUGAAUCCAGCAGGAUUCCCAGGGGGAGUGCUGAUCCUGCGGAGGUAUAACUCAGGACUGAAGAGAACACAGAAUGCUGUAGGGACAACAGGAAAUUGGAGCCCAGUCCAGUCCUAAGUUAGCACAUGCGUGGUGCUUUUUGGCACCCUGAAGCAGCUAAAAGCAUGGCUCUGAAGUCAGACUUCCUGGAUGCCAGUUCCUCACCGCUCCCCAGCUGUGCCGCUGAGACUUAGAUUUUCGUUAUGUGCAAAACUGGGGUGAUAAUAUUAGAUCUGUAGGAGGGCUUCAUGCUUUUUAUACAGUCCCUAGGACAGUGACGGGCACAUAAUAUUGGCUCAAGAUAGGUUAACUAUUGUUAUUUAAACUGUGCCCAAACCAGAAAAACACAGUGGGGCCAAGUUUUGGUUCUCUAAUUGAACACAUUAGAUAUCGCAGAUAAACAGGACCCCAGGAAG